rnacentral:rRNA from 1 species
AUACGUAGGGGGCUAGCGUUAUCCGGAAUUACUGGGCGUAAAGGGUGCGUAGGUGGUUUCUUAAGUCAGAAGUGAAAGGCUACGGCUCAACCGUAGUAAGCUUUUGAAACUAAGAGACUUGAGUGCAGGAGAGGAGAGUAGAAUUCCUAGUGUAGCGGUGAAAUGCGUAGAUAUCAGGAGGAAUACCAGUUGCGAAGGCGGCUCUCUGGACUGUAACUGACACUGAGGCACGAAAGCGUGGGGAGCAAACAGGAUUAGAUACCCUGGUAGUCCACGCCGUAAACGAUGAGUACUAGCUGUCGGGGGUUACCCCCCUCGGUGGCGCAGCUAACGCAUUAAGUACUCCGCCUGGGAAGUACGCUCGCAAGAGUGAAACUCAAAUGAAUUGACGGGG